UACUACAGGGGCUCAUUAUCUUAAAAAGCA
rnacentral:piRNA from 1 species